UGGGAGCGAUCCCCUGGGAGACGAGUUGCAAGGUAUCUGCGGCGUGCUUGCAAGCUCGAAGCGCCCAAGGCCUGAGAAAACAGGAAGGGCAAGCGGGACAGUGGGUGCGAGCAGCGCUGGAGCAGCAGGGCCGGCCUGCCAGCCACAGGCGCUGGGAGGCCUCGAGCCGGCGGACGGCGGGCCGCGGAGCGCCUGCGCCCCGGGCCCGGCCCCCUCACCCCAAGCCACGGGCACAGCCGCGAAGGACCAGGGGCGGGAGGCGGGCUCAGCAGGAGUAGGUCCGCACUGCUGGGGUCUCCAGUCUCCACGCCCCCGCCGUCCGGACAGCCGCCGGGGAACACAGAGCGACGGGUUACUCCACCAGUCAUCAACCCAAGGAAAGAAGAACUCAUGAACUUCAAUGAACCAGCAGUGACCACCAAAUCUUCAAGGUCCCCAGUUCACAGCCAGGUACUCACAUCAUCCAGCUUCCGGUCUGUGCCCAAAGCCAACAGGUUGUUGAACUCUCUCUCCAAAACUUGGCGUGCCUAGAGUCCACAAGGUGAAAACUCUGAAGCCUGGGAAGGUGAAGGGAUUUUACCAACACUGCAUGGGUGAUCAGCUCCUGGGGAUAGCUAUAGGAAAAGUGAAACCACCUGUGAAAGCCUUAUGGCUCAGUGAUGAUUAAUUCCCAGACUUAGCCACCUGAGAAACAUCAGAAUAUAACAUCCAUUAUGUCCUCCAAAGUAACAGGGACCAUGGGUUCUGCCAAGAUGUGGACUCCCAUUACCCCAGCUUCCCACCACAGGACUGCCACCUUUGCUCUAUGGCUGAAACAGCGUAACAGGAAGACAUGAGGAGCAACACCUAUCCAUUCCUAGAGAAACUGAACUCCUUGAAGGAAUGACUACUGCUCUGAUACCUACUACGAAGCCUUGCUUACUACAGUAGUUAAUAAAUAUCUGUUGAGCAAAUAACUGAAUAGAUGAGGGCAAUGAAAGGAGGAAGGGAGGGAAAGGAAGAAAGGAAAGAAGAAACAGUGGAGGGGACAGGAAGACAGCUAACAUUUACUGUGUACCUACUACAUGCCAAGCACACACUGGAACUUUAUAUUAUCAUAGAGGUGUUAAUAAUGCUACCCUUGCCCAAGUACUUGCUUGACUACAGUGUCUACAAAGUUAUGAUUAGGCAUUAUGAUAUUUUGAGUCUUGGAGGGAAGAUAUACUAGGAAUUAACAAGUGACUCUCCUAGGGAAAAAAAAAAAAAUCCAAGAAAUUUCUCCUGAAGGUCCUGAGCACAGUACACUAGAAAACCUCCAAACUGGAAGAAGCCUCAGAGGCCCAACCUCACACUUGAUACAGGAAGCCCUUCUACAGUACACCAAAUAAACAGCCAUCCAUCUGAUGCCUGGCACUUCUCAUGGCAGGAACUACCACCUCAUGGAGCAGCCCUUCCAGCCGUGAAACAGCUCUGACAGAAAACUGCUUCUCUUGAGUGGAAUCUCGGUGUCUGUGGCUUCUGCUCCUGGUCCCUGGCAGAGAAGUCUGGAUCCAAGGACACCCUCCUGCUUCUCCCCUACUCACACCCAUUUACUAGGAUUAGACAGAGACCAUGGCCUGUGGGUCCAUCCCGGCUCGGCUGGAUCAGCCUGCCUUUCUCCUUCUUCCCAAACAGGCGGCCGAUGGAUGAUUUGAUGCCCUUGCGCUUGGCACCCUUGUGCAAGGAGUCCUGGCUGCUGUUGCUGCUGCUGGGGUUGCUGCCUGGAUCCUCCAAAGCACUACAGGAUGACAGCCAGGAUGGGGUGGGAUGAGAAGAAAUAUACUUAAUUACAGCAUGAGAGAUGGGAGCUAGACUUCAGGAAGAACUUACAGUAAGUGUCAGAACUGAAAGGGCAAGGGGGUAUGAUCAGAGCACGGGACCAAAAGAGACAUGGAAAUGUCCUUCUCUCAUGGCGUUUCAAAGAGAAGUGAGAUGUUCAGACACCUGGGACAGGUGAGACUCAGCCUGUUCAGUGGCAGAGAGAGGGACAAGAUAAACUUGGGGAUGGAGAGGCUUGAGAUGCGGUCUGUUCCAUUUACCUCUUGCCUUCUUCCUGGCUCCGGGCUGGGUGGCCAAGCUUUUCUAGCUGCAGUGUCCUGGGUGAGGAAGGAGGAGAAGUCUCACAUUUUAUGGUGGCUUUAUCCUCUCGGUUCUCUUCCCAAGACACUGGUGACUGAACAGACAGUGGAGCCGUCAGGGGGUAGAGGGAGAGAUCGGGGGCCUGCUGACCCAGCCCAGACAGGCGGAGGGGCGUGGAGACUGGCAGAGGGGAGGCCCCAGGGCCUCUCAGAGUUCAGACUCAGACUCAAGGGCCCAGGGGGGAGAAGUCGAAAGGGAAAUGUGGGGGAAAAUUAACAGAUACCCUGUUAGUACCUGGGUCAUCAGGCAGCACUCACCAGCAGCUUCCUCCUAUGCUUUCUUAAGUCACUGGGCUGGAAGAGAGAGUGAAGGGUGAGCUUGGACUCACCUUUUGGAUGCUUGAACGUCUACUCUAAGGGAAACCCAGUGGUCUUGGGAUGAGAAGAUAGAACUCAGUGCCUUAUACAGGCCUGAAGAGAAUAUCACAGCAAAACAAACCAACAAAAAACUGGCUUGAAAAAAAAUAAAUCAGGGCUUCCUCUGAAAGAAA